UUCUAAUAUAUAUGCCGGGGUCUGUUAAGUUUUUCGAUCGUCAAUAUUAAUAUGAAACUGUUUCUAUUUGUACUUGUAGCUGGUUACAUUGCUGCCGGUGUAAUGGCUGAUCCAGAAGAACCCUGCUUCGUAAACUCUGGUUAUGCUACUUUAAGAAAAAAAGACUUUCAUUAAUUUAGUGAAUUGAUUUAAUGAAGCCGAAAUAUUCUUCAGAUAUGCAACCUCCUCAUAAUGAUUUUAACUGAAUGAAAACAAAUCAAAAUAAAAAAUUUUAAUAAAUAAAAUAAA